UGAGGAAUAUUGGUCAAUGGGCGAGAGCCUGAACCAGCCAAGUAGCGUGCAGGAUGACGGCCCUAUGGGUUGUAAACUGCUUUUAUGUGGGGAUAAAGUGCGUGACGUGUCAUGCAUUGCAGGUACCACAUGAAUAAGGACCGGCUAAUUCCGUGCCAGCAGCCGCGGUAAUACGGAAGGUCCGGGCGUUAUCCGGAUUUAUUGGGUUUAAAGGGAGCGUAGGCUGUCUAUUAAGCGUGUUGUGAAAUAUACCGGCUCAACCGGUGGCUUGCAGCUUGAACUGGUCGACUUGAGUAUGCAGGAAGUAGGCGGAAUUCAUGGUGUAGCGGUGAAAUGCUUAGAUAUCAUGACGAACUCCGAUUGCGCAGGCAGCUUACUGUAGCAUAACUGACGCUGAUGCUCGAAAGUGCGGGUAUCAAACAGG
rnacentral:rRNA from 1 species